rnacentral:misc_RNA from 1 species
CCCAACUAUCCCUAUUAAUCAUUACGUCGAUCCUAGAAACCAACAAAAUAGAAUCAAACGUCCUAUUUCAUUAUUCCAUGCUAAUGUAUUCAAGCGCGAGCUUGCUUUAAACACUCUAAUUUUUUCAAAGUAACAGUCCUGAUUUCCCAUGACACCAAAUUAAUGACAUCGUGGUUCGUCAGAAGGGAGAAACCAAUAAUGCUAGUACGUACAAAGUACGACCGACAUAUUAGUCCCGAAAUUCAACUACGAGCUUUUUAACUGCAACAACUUUAAUAUACGCUAUUGGAGCUGGAAUUACCGCGGCUGCUGGCACCAGACUUGCCCUCCAA